ensembl:lncRNA
CUCAUUUUGUUGCUUUUUACCAGUGGGGAAGCCUUUCAGAGCAAGACAACGUGCCGUUCAAGAUGAGAGAAGCAAGACUGGAGCUUAUAUUAGCAUCUGCACUGUCAUUCCCGGCUCAGCAGCUUUGAACUGCUUGAUAGUUCCUCCUCUUCAGAUGGCAGAUGGACAGCAGCAGCUUCCCUUUGAGGUCAAGAUGAAAAGAGGAACAAAAAAAUUGCAUACGUCGUUCUGACUUUAAGGUACGGAGAAAAUGAAUGUCGUGACUGUCCUCAAAGAGAAUCAUCAUAGAUGGCAAAGCUUUCCAGAAAGCCUGCAGACAGCAGUCCAGGGAACACAAGCGUUGCUCUGAGCCAGAC